rnacentral:rRNA from 1 species
GGCGAACGGGUGAGUAACACGUGGGUGAUCUGCCCUGCACUCUGGGAUAAGCCUGGGAAACUGGGUCUAAUACUGGAUAUGACCUCAGCAUGCAUGUGCUGGGGUGGAAAGCUUUUGUGGUGCAGGAUGGGCCCGCGGCCUAUCAGCUUGUUGGUGGGGUAAUGGCCUACCAAGGCGACGACGGGUAGCCGACCUGAGAGGGUGACCGGCCACACUGGGACUGAGACACGGCCCAGACUCCUACGGGAGGCAGCAGUGGGGAAUAUUGCACAAUGGGCGGAAGCCUGAUGCAGCGACGCCGCGUGAGGGAUGAAGGCCUUCGGGUUGUAAACCUCUUUCAGCAGGGACGAAGCGUGAGUGACGGUACCUGCAGAAGAAGCACCGGCUAACUACGUGCCAGCAGCCGCGGUAAUACGUAGGGUGCGAGCGUUGUCCGGAAUUACUGGGCGUAAAGAGUUCGUAGGCGGUUUGUCGCGUCGUUUGUGAAAACCCGGGGCUCAACUUCGGGCUUGCAGGCGAUACGGGCAGACUUGAGUGUUUCAGGGGAGACUGGAAUUCCUGGUGUAGCGGUGAAAUGCGCAGAUAUCAGGAGGAACACCGGUGGCGAAGGCGGGUCUCUGGGAAACAACUGACGCUGAGGAACGAAAGCGUGGGUAGCAAACAGGAUUAGAUACCCUGGUAGUCCACGCCGUAAACGGUG